rnacentral:rRNA from 1 species
GACGAACGCUGGCGGCGUGCCUAAUACAUGCAAGUCGAGCGAAUCAAUAGGAGCUUGCUCCUGUUGGUUAGCGGCGGACGGGUGAGUAACACGUGGGCAACCUGCCUGUAAGACUGGGAUAACACCGGGAAACCGGUGCUAAUACCGGAUAAUCCUUUUCCUCACAUGAGGGAAAGCUGAAAGUCGGUUUCGGCUGACACUUACAGAUGGGCCCGCGGCGCAUUAGCUAGUUGGUGAGGUAACGGCUCACCAAGGCGACGAUGCGUGGCCGACCUGGGAGGGUGAUCGGCCACACUGGGACUGAGACACGGACCAGACUCCUACGGGAGGCAGCAGUAGGGAAUCUUCCACAAUGGACGAAAGUCUGAUGGAGCAACGCCGCGUGAGCGAUGAAGGCCUUCGGGUCGUAAAGCUCUGUUGUUAGGGAAGAACAAGUACCGGAGUAACUGCCGGUACCUUGACGGUACCUAACCAGAAAGCCACGGCUAACUACGUGCCAGCCGCCGCCGUAAAAC